UACGUAGGGCGCAAGCGUUAUCCGGAAUUAUUGGGCGUAAAGAGCUCGUAGGCGGUUUGUCGCGUCUGCCGUGAAAGUCCGGGGCUCAACUCCGGAUCUGCGGUGGGUACGGGCAGACUAGGGUGAUGUAGGGGAGACUGGAAUUCCUGGUGUAGCGGUGAAAUGCGCAGAUAUCAGGAGGAACACCGAUGGCGAAGGCAGGUCUCUGGGCAUUAACUGACGCUGAGGAGCGAAAGCAUGGGGAGCAAACAGG
rnacentral:rRNA from 1 species